AUAUUUCAUUAUUAUAUGAUAUUCGCCGCAGUGUUGAAUUGUAUUCUUGUACAAGAAAUAUGAAGUUCUACAUUGUGACUUUGAUGCUGGUUUUUACGCUUGUGACAGAAACUACAUCACGGAGACGUAGUCAGGGCAAUAAAAGAUUUAAUGGCGCAGCAGCUGGUCCCGGUUAUCUUUUGAAGCGGGAGGCAAUAUAUGUUGACAACAGGAAUGAAAGGUUGCCUGAAAUACGCCUGCCUAGGCCCAGGAUAACCAAUGAAAAUGUUAAAUAGCAUAUGACCAUUUUCAAUGACAAACCUAUAGCUGAAUAAAGUGCUACAAAACUACUA